rnacentral:rRNA from 1 species
CAGUAGCCGCGGGAAUACGGAGGGUGCAAGCGUUAUCCGGAUUUAUUGGGUUUAAAGGGUCCGUAGGCGGACUUAUAAGUCAGUGGUGAAAGCCUGUCGCUUAACGAUAGAACUGCCAUUGAUACUGUAAGUCUUGAGUAUAUUUGAGGUAGCUGGAAUAAGUAGUGUAGCGGUGAAAUGCAUAGAUAUUACUUAGAACACCAAUUGCGAAGGCAGGUUACCAAGAUAUAACUGACGCUGAGGGACGAAAGCGUGGGUAGCGAACAGGAUUAGAGACCCGAGUAGUCCCUGUCUCUUAUAC